rnacentral:lncRNA from 1 species
CUGUUUAGAUUCUACCCCUGAAAGGUACCAUACAAUAUUUGGAAGUCAGUCCUGAAAGGAUUAUAAAAGCAAGAAAGAAACAUGGACUCUAAGAAUUAACAACAGUGUGGGAAGCCACGGAGGAGAUUUAUGACUACCCUAAAUUGGUUUGUGUUUGGAUGGAUGACUAUUUCCUGCUCUUUAUUACUAGAAAUUGGCAGCAACAUCUCAGAUUGGAUAAUGGUACUGGUGGAAUAAUUACCAGAAAGAAAAAAACAUCCCCACUAAAGUGAUGAAAACAUGUACAGAUUGUCCAACCUUUUGCUUUUGUACCACUUCCCCUUCCAGAUGUCAGGGUUGUGAUUUAUUUCUCCCUAAGAGUUUAAAAAUAAAACUCUCAUCAUAAAAUUUGCCUGAUACUGAUGAAAAAUAAGAUGUAGUAAUUUAGGCUUUCAGACUAGACUCAGAAAUAGAAUCCAUUAAUAUUUUUUUACUAGGGAUCCAUUUAAAAACAUCUAAACAUGAUGAAAAUGAAAGAAUGGAGAGAAAUAUGCCAGGUAAAUAUAAACUUAAAAGAAAGCUGGGGAAACUAUCAAUAUCUGACAAAAAUAGAUUUUCAUGUAAAAAAAUGUGGCACACAUACACCAUGGAAUACUAUGCAGCCAUAAAAAAG